AGAUUGAACGCUGGCGGCAUGCCUUACACAUGCAAGUCGAACGGCAGCACGGGAGCAGUCCUGGUGGCGAGUGGCGAACGGGUGAGUAAUAUAUCGGAACGUGCCCAGUCGUGGGGGAUAACGCAGCGAAAGCUGUGCUAAUACCGCAUACGAUCUAUGGAUGAAAGCGGGGGAUCGCAAGACCUCGCGCGAUUGGAGCGGCCGAUAUCAGAUUAGCUAGUUGGUGGGGUAAAAGCCUACCAAGGCGACGAUCUGUAGCUGGUCUGAGAGGACGACCAGCCACACUGGAACUGAGACACGGUCCAGACUCCUACGGGAGGCAGCAGUGGGGAAUUUUGGACAAUGGGCGCAAGCCUGAUCCAGCAAUGCCGCGUGCAGGAUGAAGGCCUUCGGUUGUAAACUGCUUUUGUACGGAACGAACGGUUCUCCCUAAUACGAGGGCUAAGUGACGGUACGUAAGAAUAAGCACCGGCUAACUACGU
rnacentral:rRNA from 1 species